AGGUGUAGCUCAGAUGGUAGAGUGCUUGGUUUGGGACCAAGAUGCCGCAGGUUCGAGUCCUGUCACCU
rnacentral:tRNA from 1 species